CCUACGGGUGGCAGCAGUCGAGAAUCAUUCACAAUGGGGGAAACCCUGAUGGUGCGACGCCGCGUGGGGGAUUGAAGGUCUUCGGAUUGUAAACUCCUGUCAUGUGGGAGCAAAUUAAAAAGAUAGUACCACAAGAGGAAGAGACGGCUAACUCUGUGCCAGCAGCCGCGGUAAUACAGAGGUCUCAAGCGUUGUUCGGAAUUACUGGGCGUAAAGCGUGCGUAGGCUGUUUCGUAAGUCGGGUGUGAAAGGCGCGGGCUCAACCCGCGGGCGGCACGUGGAACUGGGAGGCUAGAGUAAAGGAGAGGGAACUGGAAUUCUCGGUGUAGCAGUGAAAUGCGUAGAUAUCAGGAAGAACACUCGGGGCGAAGGCGAUUUCCUGGACAUUAACUGACGCUGAGGCACGAAGGCCAGGGGAGCGAAAGGGAUUAGAUACCCGUGUAGUC
rnacentral:rRNA from 1 species